rnacentral:rRNA from 1 species
AACGAACGCUGGCGGCAUGCCUAACACAUGCAAGUCGAACGAGACCUUCGGGUCUAGUGGCGCACGGGUGCGUAACGCGUGGGAACCUUCCCUUAGGUUCGGAAUAACUCCCCGAAAGGGGUGCUAAUACCGGAUAAUGUCUUCGGACCAAAGAUUUAUCGUCUUUGGAUGGGCCCGCGUUGGAUUAGCUAGUUGGUAGGGUAAAAGCCUACCAAGGCGACGAUCCAUAGCUGGUCUGAGAGGAUGAGCAGCCACACUGGGACUGAGACACGGCCCAGACUCCUACGGGAGGCAGCAGUGCGGAAUAUUGGACAAUGGGCGAAAGCAUGAUGCAGCAAUGCCGCGUGAGUGAUGAAGGCGUUAGGGUUGUAAAGCUGUUUUACCCGGGAUGAUAAUGACAGUACCGGAAGAAUAAGCGCCGGCUAACUCCGUG